rnacentral:lncRNA from 1 species
GCUUAACUAACCGAGCCACCAGGGGUCCCAAAAGAAAUCUUUCUUGAACGUUCCUAUGAAAAAUUGCCUUUACUCUAAUGUGAUUAAUGUAAUUUUCUUACAUCUAAAGGAUCACUUCAUUUACCUUUUUAUCAAUAACUCUGAAAAGACACUAGACGCAUUUUACUCUCCACUAUGGUACUCAUGCUUGUUAUACUCUCCGUGGAAUCCCCAUUAGCAGGCAUUGUUGAGAAGCUCUCUGCCUGAAUGAUGGGGUUGAAGCUCUAGCCUGGGAGAGAGAAUGGUUUGUGGCUGGUGUCUCCUCUAAAUGGCAAGUAGGUGGCUACAGAAAACUAAAAAUAACUAUGGGUCCAACUCAGGAUAAGAGGGACAUUACAACUCAAGGACACUUGUCUGAAAAUAUCUAAGUGAUAAAAUAUAUUUUUAAACGUUGUUUUCUGAAUGAUUAUUGCCACUGAAAAAUAAUAGUAGCAAGCCACAAGAAAAGUUUUAUUUGGCUAAAGUCUCUACCCAAGCCCAGCUCUGAC